rnacentral:misc_RNA from 1 species
CGAGGCAAUGACGCUUGCCAAUCGCAUCGUCAUCAUGCGCGACGGUCAUGUGCAGCAGGUGGGGGCACCGCUUGAAGUUUACGAUCGCCCCGUCAAUCUGUUUGUGGCUGGGUUUAUCGGUUCACCGGAAAUGAAUCUGGUCGAGGGGCGAGCUGCGAACGGCGUAUUUGAAAGCGGCGCGCUGCGGAUUGCCCUUCCUGAGCAGUAUCGAGCGGCCAACGAAGAUAUCGUGUUUGGUAUCCGGCCGGAGCAUAUCGCGCUCGGAGAGGGGCCCGAUGCGCUCGCAUUUGAGGUCGGCGUCAUCGAGCAACUUGGCGCGCAGACACUGACCAUCGGUGAGGUAAGCGGGGUUCGUCUGCGCAUUCUCA